rnacentral:rRNA from 1 species
AUACGUAGGUGACAAGCGUUAUCCGGAUUUACUGGGCGUAAAGGGCGUGUAGGCGGUCUUGCAAGUCAGAAGUGAAAUUCCUGAGCUCAACUCGGGCGCUGCUUCUGAAACUGCAGGACUUGAGUGCUGGAGGGGAUAGCGGAAUUCCUAGUGGAGCGGUAAAAUGCGCAGAUAUUAGGAAGAACACCGGUGGCGAAGGCGGCUAUCUGGACAGUAACUGACGCUGAGGCGCGAAAGCGUGGGGAGCAAACAGGAUUAGAUACCCUGGUAGUCCACACUGUAAACGAUGAAUGCUAGGUGUAAGAGGUAUCGACCCCUUUUGUGCCGGAGUUAACACAAUAAGCAUUCCGCCUGGGGAGUACGGCCGCAAGGUUGAAACUCAAAUGAAUUGACGGGG